rfam:Triticum aestivum genome assembly, contig: Triticum_aestivum_CS42_TGACv1_scaffold_408637_5BL
CCUCUGUGAUGAAACACCGAUUAGAUGUACGAUAGAAUCCAUUCCAUUAAACCAUGGGGACAAUAGAGGCAUUUGUAGAACA